rnacentral:piRNA from 1 species
UAUCAAGUCGAGCCUGUCUGAAAAG